UAUUGAAUUCUGUAAUUGCAGUGUGUAAAUUAUCCACUGAUUUAUUCCCAGAUCAUGAAUUGUCAGCGACAAAGGUUUCUGUUAGUGUUGGGAUCAUGAAUUUGGUGGGUUGCUGGUUUGGAGCCAUGCCAGUGUGCCAUGGAGCAGGUGGGCUAGCAGGGCAGUACAGGUUUGGUUCCAGGAGUGGUGCAUCAGUUGUUUUUCUGGGGAUAGGGAAGUUAGUGAUAGGAUUGGUGUUUGGGAAUUCUUUUGUGAGGAUUUUGAACCAAUUCCCAAUCGGGAUUCUUGGAGUGCUGUUGUUGUUUGCAGGGAUUGAGUUGGCUAUGGCUUCUAAGGAUAUGAAUACAAAAGAGCAAUCUUUUGUGAUGUUGGUUUGCGCUGCUGUUUCAUUAACUGGGUCUAGUGCUGCAUUGGGAUUUGGGUGUGGAAUUUUGCUUCAUCUGUUGCUAAAAUUGAGAAGCAUGGAUUGCUCUUGUUUUGGGUUUUCCAGAUGCAGCUCUAAAUCUUCUGCUUCUGAUGUGGAAUCUACUCUUAUUCCUUCAGAUUAGCCUGCAAAGCAAUGGAAAUUGGCAAGUGAACCUCCGAAUCAGAAUUUUAGUCUCAUCUAUAUCAAGUUAAAUGAAUAAUUUAGAAUAUUGUUUUUCUACUUGAGGUGAGACCAAGCAAUGUAAUGAUUAAGGUAUGAGAUCUCUGUUAAUAGAUUUCAUUGUACAUAGACCUUUUUUAUUAGAAAUAAGGAAAUCCUCAUUCAUUUCUUAUAUAAAAG
rnacentral:misc_RNA from 1 species